rnacentral:rRNA from 1 species
UACGGGGGGGGCAAGCGUUGUUCGGAAUUACUGGGCGUAAAGGGCUCGUAGGUGGCCAACUAAGUCAGACGUGAAAUCCCCCAGCUUAACUGGGAAACUGCGUCUGAUACUGGAUGGCUUGAGUUCGGGAGAGGGAUGCGGAAUUCCAGGUGUAGCGGUGAAAUGCGUAGAUAUCUGGAGGAACACCGGUGGCGAAGGCGGCAUCCUGGACCGACACUGACACUGAGGAGCGAAAGCCAGGGGAGCAAACGGG